rnacentral:rRNA from 1 species
AUUGAACGCUGGCGGCAGGCCUAACACAUGCAAGUCGAACGAGUGGCGGACGGGUGAGUAAUGUCUGGGAAACUGCCCGAUGGCGGGGGAUACCUACUGGAACCGGUAGCUAAUACCGCAUACCAUCGGCUUUUCCCCGAUGGGAUUAUCUAGUAGGUGGGGUAACGGCUCACCUCGGCGACGAUCCCUAGCUGGCCUGAGAGCGUGACCGGCCACACUGGAACUGAGACACGGUCCAGACUCCUACGGGAGGCAGCAGUGGGGAAUAUUGCACAAUGGGCGCAAGCCUGAUGCAGCCAUGCCGCGUGUAUGAAGAAGGCCUUCGGGUUGUAAAGUACUGUCAGCGAGGAGGCGUUACUCGAAGAAGAAGCACCGGCUAACUCCGUGCCAGCAGCCGCGGUAAUAC